GACGAACGCUGGCGGCGUGCUUAACACAUGCAAGUCGAACGAAGAGCGACGGAAACUUGCUUCUAUCAAUCUUAGUGGCGAACGGGUGAGUAACGCGUAAUCAACCUGCCCUUCAGAGGGGGACAACAGUUGGAAACGACUGCUAAUACCGCAUACGAUCUAACCUCGGCAUCGAGGAUAGAUGAAAGGUGGCCUCUACAUGUAAGCUAUCACUGAAGGAGGGGAUUGCGUCUGAUUAGCUAGUUGGAGGGGUAACGGCCCACCAAGGCGAUGAUCAGUAGCCGGUCUGAGAGGAUGAACGGCCACAUUGGGACUGAGACACGGCCCAGACUCCUACGGGAGGCAGCAGUGGGGAAUCUUCCGCAAUGGACGAAAGUCUGACGGAGCAACGCCGCGUGAGUGAUGACGGCCUUCGGGUUGUAAAGCUCUGUUAAUCGGGACGAAAGGCCUUCUUGCGAAUAGUGAGAAGGAUUGACGGUACCGGAAGAGAAAGCCACGGCUAACUACGUG
rnacentral:rRNA from 1 species